GACGAACGCUGGCGGCGUGCCUAAUACAUGCAAGUAGAACGCUGAAGGAGGAGCUUGCUUCUCCGGAUGAGUUGCGAACGGGUGAGUAACGCGUAGGUAACCUGCCUGGGAGCGGGGGAUAACUAUUGGAAACGAUAGCUAAUACCGCAUAAGAGUAGAUGUGGCAUGACAUUUGCUUAAAAGGUGCAAUUGCAUCACUACCAGAUGGACCUGCGGUUUAUUAGCUAGUUGGUGGGGUAACGGCUCACCAAGGCGACGAUUCAUAGGCGACCUGAGAGGGUGGUCGGCCAACCUGGGACCUGGGCACGGCCCAAACUUCUUCGGGGGGCAGCCGGAGGGGAUCUUCGGCCAUGGACGGAAGUCUGACCGAGGAACGCCGCGGGAGAGAAGGAGGUUUUCGGGUCGUAAAGCUCUGUUGUAAGGGAAGAACGAGUGUGAGAGUGGAAAGUUCACACUGUGACGGUAUCUUAACAGAAAGGGACGGCUAACUACGUG
rnacentral:rRNA from 1 species